CAAGCAAUAUCUGAUCUGUUGAAACCAAUAAGAGUUUUGCAAUUAAGACAUUAGGGGAAAAAGAAUCAACUCCAAUCUCUACUAUUUGAUUUGUAUGUGUGUGUGUGUGUCCCCUUGGUGAUUAAGGAGUGUCCAAAGCAAUGGAAUUUCACCCACAUCCUCUUUAUCUAUCUCACCACUCCCAAUCCUGAAUGCCCUUGCCCCUUUUUUUCCCAUAGGAUUUUUGGAAUCUACAUUUAUAUAGGAAAUGAAAUCUAGCUUUGCUUGUAUGUGCAAGGGAAAUAAAAAAUGUGAAAAUAGAAUCAUUCCCGACAUAUUCAUCCAAAAAAAAAUCCCUUACAAUUUUGUGUUUCCUUCAGUGUUUCUGUGCUCUUCCCCCACUUUUAAGACAGCCAAGAACACCCUUAGAAUUACUCAAUUAGUUAAUUGUUAUGAACUUGACUAAAUCUUAAUUCCAAACCAGUUGAUGUAGACAAUAAGAAUAAUUUCCCUUUGUUUUAUUUUACCCUGUCUAGCUUUUUAAACAAUAUAUGUAUCUUUUUUAAAUUGUUAUUCUUGCAGUAAUGCCACAAAACUCUUAC
rnacentral:misc_RNA from 1 species